rnacentral:rRNA from 1 species
GCAGAGCAUUCCUCGGGAGGCAGCAGUGGGGAAUAUUGCACAAUGGGCGCAAGCCUGAUGCAGCCAUGCCGCGUGUAUGAAGAAGGCCUUCGGGUUGUAAAGUACUUUCAGCAGUGAGGAAGGUGGGUAUGUUAAUAGCAUAUUCAUUUGACGUUAGCUGCAGAAGAAGCACCGGCUAACUCCGUGCCAGCAGCCGCGGUAAUACGGAGGGUGCGAGCGUUAAUCGGAAUUACUGGGCGUAAAGCGCAUGCAGGUGGUUUGUUAAGUCAGAUGUGAAAGCCCGGGGCUCAACCUCGGAAUUGCAUUUGAAACUGGCAAACUAGAGUACUGUAGAGGGGGUAGAAUUUCAGGUGUAGCGGUGAAAUGCGUAGAGAUCUGAAGGAAUACCGGUGGCGAAGGCGGCCCCCUGGACAGAUACUGACACUCAGAUGCGAAAGCGUGGGGAGCAAACAGGAUUAGAUACCCUGGUAG